CGUCGGUAGCCAAUCCGAUCCGGCUAACUCUCGCUCCAGCCGGAAGCACUUGGGGCGGUCCAGGAGGCAACAAAUGGGCUGAAGCACUUCAAGAAAAGGCCUCUAUAGUGAGGUCAGCGGACCCUGCGUGCGUAUUCCGC
rfam:Acidithiobacillus caldus SM-1 megaplasmid, complete sequence.